GACGAACGCUGGCGGCGUGCUUAACACAUGCCAGUCGAACGGAAAGGCGCUGCGUUUGUGGGGUUCUCGAUUGGCGAAGGGGGGAGUAACACGUGAGUAACCUCUCCUUGACUGUGGGAGAACUUCAGGGAACUGGGGCUCAUACCGGAUAUGAUCUCCUGCUGCAUGGUGGGGGAUGGAGAGUGUCGGCGGUUGGGGCUGGACUCGAGGGUUAUCAGCUUGAUGGUGGGGUAGUGGCUUACCAAGGCUUUGACGGGUAGGCGGCCUGAGAGGGUGACCGGCCACAUUGGGACUGAGAUACGGCCCAGAAUCCUACGGGAGGCAGCAGUGGGGAAUCUUGCACAAUGGGCGGAAGCCUGAUGCAGAAACGCCGCGUGCGGGAUGACGGCCUACGGGUUGUAAACCGAUUUCGCCUGUGACGAAGCGUGAGUGACGGUAAUGGGUAAAGAAGCACCGGCUAACUACGUG
rnacentral:rRNA from 1 species